rnacentral:rRNA from 1 species
AACGAACGCUGGCGGCAGGCCUAACACAUGCAAGUCGAGCGAGGACUUCGGUCCUAGCGGCGGACGGGUGAGUAACGCGUGGGAACGUGCCCUUUGGUACGGAAUAGCCCCGGGAAACUGGGAGUAAUACCGUAUGAGCUCUACGGAGGAAAGAUUUAUCGCCAAGGGAUCGGCCCGCGUUGGAUUAGGUAGUUGGUGGGGUAAUGGCCUACCAAGCCGACGAUCCAUAGCUGGUUUGAGAGGAUGAUCAGCCACACUGGGACUGAGACACGGCCCAGACUCCUACGGGAGGCAGCAGUGGGGAAUCUUAGACAAGGGGCGCAAGCCUGAUCUAGCCAUGCCGCGUGAGCGAUGAAGGCCUUAGGGUUGUAAAGCUCUUUCAGCGAGGAAGAUAAUGACUGUACUCGCAGAAGAAGCCCCGGCUAACUCCGUGCCAGCAGCCGCCGUAAGAC